rnacentral:misc_RNA from 2 species
CAACCCCUCAGGCCCCCCUUCCGGGGGCGGGCCUGGUGUUGGGGCUCGGCCGCUACCCUGCGGCCGUCCCCUAAAUGCAGUGGCGGCCUCGCCGCAAUCCCUUGCGUAGUACUAUACCUCGCACUGGAGCGCGACGCGGCCACGCCGUAAAACCCCCAAUUUUCAAU